CCUACGGGGGGCAGCAGUGAGGAAUAUUGGGCAAUGGAGGAAACUCUGACCCAGCAACGCCGCGUGAAGGAUGAAGGUUUUCGGAUUGUAAACUUCUGUCGCGAGGGACGAAGAAUGACGGUACCUCGUAAGAAAGCCCCGGCAAACUACGUGCCAGCAGCCGCGGUAAUACGUAGGGGGCGAGCGUUGUCCGGAAUGACUGGGCGUAAAGGGAGUGUAGGCGGCUCUUUAAGUUAUAUGUGAAAUCCCGCGGCUUAACCGUGGAAGUGCAUAUAAAACUGGGGAGCUGGAGUGCAGGAGAGGUGAGUGGAAUGCCUAGUGUAGCGGUGGAAUGCGUAGAUAUCACGCAGAACUCCGAUUGCGAAGGCAGCAUACCGGCGCCCUACUGACGCUGAGGCACGAAAGCGUGGGUAUCGAACAGGAUUAGAUACCCGGGUAGUC
rnacentral:rRNA from 1 species